rnacentral:tmRNA from 1 species
GGGGAUGUAUAGUUUCGACAGGAUUUGCUCUUUGACAAACUGCAAGCCGAAUACGAUUCUAAAGUGCGUCAAACUUUGAAUCAAAUUACGUGCAAAGAACAAACUUGCACAACUGGGCGAGUUCCUUUUUGGAACUUCUCCAGUAGCUCCAGCAUUUGCCUAAAAACAAAUCUUGAGCUUGUCUUUUUAGUUUUCUCUCGGUGAAACUUUAAAGGCAACAACCAAGCCGAGAUUGUCCGCCCAUUUUGAUCAAAUGGGCGAGAUGAAACAUUUGAUCUUUGUUUAGGUUUUGCCUGCUAAUCGGCUAAAAAUCUAAACGAGAACUUGUAGAUUCCCGCCAUAGGCGGGUCAGCCUUUGGCUGAAGCUAAGCUUGUAGGAGUUUUUAAAUUGUAGUCUUGGACCCGGGCUCAACACCCGGCAUCUCCACAC